rnacentral:rRNA from 1 species
GUGCAAUGGCAUAAGCCAGCUUGACUGCGAGCGUGACGGCGCGAGCAGGUGCGAAAGCAGGUCAUAGUGAUCCGGUGGUUCUGAAUGGAAGGGCCAUCGCUCAACGGAUAAAAGGUACUCCGGGGAUAACAGGCUGAUACCGCCCAAGAGUUCAUAUCGACGGCGGUGUUUGGCACCUCGAUGUCGGCUCAUCACAUCCUGGGGCUGAAGUAGGUCCCAAGGGUAUGGCUGUUCGCCAUUUAAAGUGGUACGCGAGCUGGGUUUAGAACGUCGUGAGACAGUUCGGUCCCUAUCUGCCGUGGGCGCUGGAGAACUGAGGGGGGCUGCUCCUAGUACGAGAGGACCGGAGUGGACGCAUCACUGGUGUUCGGGUUGUCAUGCCAAUGGCACUGCCCGGUAGCUAAAUGCGGAAGAGAUAAGUGCUGAAAGCAUCUAAGCACGAAACUUGCCCCGAGAUGAGUUCUCCCUGACUCCUUGAGAGUCCUGAAGGAACGUUGAAGACGACGACGUUGAUAGGCCGGGUGUGUAAGCGCAGCGAUGCGUUGAGCUAACCGGUACUAAUGAACCGUGAGGCUUAACCUU